rnacentral:rRNA from 1 species
GACGAACGCUGGCGGCGUGCUUAACACAUGCAAGUCGAACGGUGAAGCCGGAGCUUGCUCUGGUGAAUUAGUGGCGAACGGGUGAGUAACACGUGAGUAACCUGCCCUUGACUCUGGGAUAACUGCGGGAAACUGUAGCUAAUACCGGAUACGACCCUCGGAGGCAUCUCCUGGGGGUGGAAAGAAUUUCGGUCAAGGAUGGACUCGCGGCCUAUCAGCUAGUUGGUGAGGUAAAGGCUCACCAAGGCGACGACGGGUAGCCGGCCUGAGAGGGUGACCGGCCACACUGGGGCUGAGACACGGCCCAGACUCCUACGGGAGGCAGCAGUGGGGAAUAUUGCACAAUGGGCGCAAGCCUGAUGCAGCAACGCCGCGUGAGGGAUGACGGCCUUCGGGUUGUAAACCUCUUUUAGCAGGGAAGAAGCGAAAGUGACGGUACCUGCAGAAAAAGCACCGGCUAACUACGUGCCAGCCGCCGCGGUAA